rnacentral:rRNA from 1 species
UACGUAGGGGGGCUAGCGUUGUCCGGAAUCAUUGGGCGUAAAGCGCGUGUAGGCGGCCCGGUAAGUCCGCUGUGAAAGUCGGGGGCUCAACCCUCGGAUGCCGGUGGAUACUGUCGGGCUCGAGUACGGAAGAGGCGAGUGGAAUUCCUGGUGUAGCGGUGAAAUGCGCAGAUAUCAGGAGGAACACCGAUUGCGAAGGCAGCUCGCUGGGACGUUACUGACGCUGAGACGCGAAAGCGUGGGGAGCAAACAGG